rnacentral:ribozyme from 13 species
AGAGAGGGAGAGAAAGGAAAAGAUGAACACAGAGAAUAAGAUCCUUGUCCCUUUCAUCGUGAUUUUCUUUUUCUCUCUUUUCUUUUUUUCUCUCUUUCUUU